rnacentral:lncRNA from 1 species
GAGUGGCUAUCGCGCCUAACCUUUGAAAUUGAGCUGCUUCUCUCUCUUGUUCCUUAUCUGGUUCCGGCCAGUGGCUUGGAAGCAAGCUACCCGCGCUAUAUAGAGGGAGAAGAGCAGCAGGAUUGAAGAAGCUGGUUCAAAGCUAAGGUAUCAAUCGGCUUUCUUUCCGUCUUCUUUUCUGCCAGGGGUAGAUGCCUUAGAUUAAGAAAGUGCCAGUGGAUUGGAAGCAAGCUACCCGCGCUAUAUAGAGGGAGAAGAGCAGCAGGAAUGAAGAAGCUGGUUCAAAGCUAAGGUAUCAAUCGGCUUUCUUUCCGUCUUCUUUUCUGCCAGGGGUAGAUGCCUUAGAUUAA